rnacentral:lncRNA from 1 species
AAGGAAGAGAAGAAGGAGGAAGAAGGAGAAGGAAGAGGAGGAAGAAGUGGAAGAGGAGGAGGAGGAUAAAUGUUUUGAAAGGCGUUUCCAUUGUUUCUAGGAGUAGAGGUAGCACGAACGGAGAGCUGCGGCCUAAGUGGAGAGCUUAGAGCAGUAGUUCUCAACUUCUAUCUCCAAAAAUAUUUACGUUCCACUCAACAGUAGCAAAAUUACAGUUGUGACAUAACAAUGAAAAUAAUUUUAUGUAACAUAACAAACAUGGGUGUCGACAUAGCAAGAUAACAUAAGCUGUAUUAAAGAGUCACAGCGUAAGGAAGUUUGAGGGACACUGGCUUAGAGAAGGAGAGUUCUGAAAACGGAUGAAGGAGAUGGUUCAUGCAAAUGGGAAUGAAUAUAUGUCUCACAUAGCCCGGGCUAAGCUGGGAUUUGCUCUGUAGUGAGGUUGACAAUGAACUCAGUCCUCUGCCUGCAGCUAGUGAAGUGCUGGGGUGCCUGACGCGCCCACUCUGCCUCUGUGCAGGACAGCUGAACCUCCAUGGACCUUGGUGCCUCAGGGUGUGGUUGAAAACCAUUCUAGUCUCCCUUGAGUACCCAGGGAUCCCAUAUGUCAUCACCCCUCCCUCCACCUGUCACCUUACUUCUGCUGAUGCCCCCUCCAACUGCUGAGUUCUAGUGAAAGAAUUCCCCAAACUGACUGACUCUCUGCUGCUGCAAACAUCAAACCAGUCCUGGUGAGGGAGAGCUGGCUCGUGGUUAAGAGCACUGCUGUUUCCCAGGCCCAGCCCCCACGGGUAGGAGGCACAGAGGUCCUACACAUGCUCACAAGUAGACACCAGGGGAACUAGGGAUGGUAAACACACAAGGUUGUUCCUUCAAAGGAAAGUGUGCGUGCGUGCGUGCGUGCGUGUGUGCGUGCGUGCGUGUGUGCGUGCGUGCGUGCGUGUGUAUGUAUGUGUGUGUGUUCGUGCAUAACCUGUUAUCAGCCCAGAAGGCUGAGAGCAAAUGUGGUUAAUAAUCUGGUUACUUUAUGUGCUUUGUGGCUGAGACCUCACCAGAUCUUCCCUCACCCUUAUCAUGUAUGAGCUUAUUUUUCUCAGUCAAUCUAUAGAACACAUCUUAAUAGAAGAUGUUGCAUAUACUUUAUACGGAGUUUUUAUGUCAAGUCUUAUGUUCUAUUGUGCACAUGAGAUUGAGCUAAUUAUCACCAGGAAAAAAUUCACUAAAUUGUGCCACACUUAUUAUGCCUAAAAUAAACUACUUUAGGUCCAAAGUUGUAACCCACACCAGCUAUUUAGUCAUAUCUUGCUUCCAGAUCAUUACUCUACUGACCAUGGUGAUCUCAGACACCCCACCACCACACCCUCUCUCCCAUAUUCCCUAGACCCAGACCCCACACAUAACAGGCCACAGCCAUCUGUAACUCCAGUUCCAGGGCAUUUGAUGUUCCGUUUGGCCUUUGACACUCCCAAAAAGGAAAGAAAAAUCCAGGCAUGAACAGGAGUUUAGCAUCAGCCUUGAUGACAGGAUGGAGAGAGGGAAAGGAAAGGAGCUGGGCGUGGUAGCACAGUGCCUGCACUCCGGGGCAGAAGCAGAAGCAGUGGAUCUCAGGGCAGCUGGGGCUACAUAGGGAGACCCUGCCCCAGACGCAUUGCAGGGAAGACUGAGGGUGUUUGGAGGCUGUCUGUCUGUCUGUCUGCCGACCCGGUUUGCUUCCUGCCCAUUCUUUACCUUUUCUCACCAGCACUGUGAUGGCCACCAGCCCUGAGAACAGCACAGCUCCAGCCAGGCUCAGGGAGAGUGCCAAGAUCCAGGUGGGGACUAGAGAGAAAAGAAAGAAUGGGGCUGGUGAGGGAGCUGUGAGGGCAGGGGAGGGCUCAUCUGGGGCCUUUCUGGAGCCCCACCCUCACCCAACAGACACCUCGCCAAGUGUCUCGGGUGUAGGUGGUCCUGGGAACUUAACAAGCCUGGCAUGUAGGCAGUUAGCAGUCAGUGAGGUCUUAUGCUGGACCAUUAAGAAAGUUUGUUCCUUCAGGCAGGUAACCCCAUUCCAAGACCACGUGACCAAGCAUUUAGAGAGUUAAGGAGGAUGAUUGUGAGUUCAAGGCUAUCAUGAGCUGCAGAAGCCAAGGCCAACCUAGGAUACAGAAUCACCUACACACACACUUGAAAACAAGACGGGGGUGGGGGGAGCUUGACUAAUGUAAAGAAGGGUCUAGGUUCCAUUUGCAGCACCAUCUCACACACACACACACACACACACACACACACACACCACAGUAUGUGCAUGGAAGUCAGAGGAUAUCUUAUGGGAGAUGACUCUCUCCUUCCAUCAUAUGGGUUGCAGAGAUGGACUCAAAUCAUCAUGCCUAAACCAUGGCCUGACAAAUAUAUAUAAAUUACACACACACACACACAAAAUAUAUAUAUAUUGUGUGUGUGUAAACAUAUACAUGUACACAUGUAUAUGUGUAUGUAUGUGUAUAUAUAUAUGUAUAUAUAUAUAUAUAUAUAUACUUUUUUAUUAUAUAGAUAUAUACUUAAAAAAGGACAUUGAAACUGGACAUAGUAACCCAAGUGUCACACUCUUAAUACCAACGUAUGGGAAGCAGAGGCAGGAGGAUUGCUAUGGGUUUAAUGCCAAGGCUGUGUAGCAAGACCUUGCCUAAAGAAAAGACAAGAAAGUAAAGGAGGGAAGGGAGAGCUGAAAAGAUGAAGGGAAUCAGUGUGGGGAGGAGCUAUGAGGAGGUGGGUGACAGGGUGCAAAUGAACAAAAUACAUCAGCCUUUUUAUUUCUAUGCAUAGGGGCCGAGAGGGGGCAUUUGUAGUGCAUUCUAGUGCCACAGAGCCCAGAAGAGGUUGUUCAUUCCUCUUGAGCUGGGUUACUAGCAGUUGUGAAUUGACUGAUGUGGGUGUUGGGAACCAAACCUGGGACCUUCGAAGAACAGCUCUUAAAUGCUGAGCCAUCACUCCAGCAUCCAUGAAAAACAUUUUUAAAAAGAGCUCUAUAUAAUCAUAGCCUUUAGGAGUCUGAGGCAGGAGGAUUACAAUGAGUUUGAAGCAAGCUUGAACUACAGUAUGAGUUCUUGUCUC